UACGUAGGGUGCAAGCGUUGUCCGGAAUUAUUGGGCGUAAAGAGCUCGUAGGCGGUUUGUCGCGUCUGCUGUGAAAACUCGGGGCUCAACUCCGAGCUUGCAGUCGAUACGGGCAGGCUAGAGUUCGGCAGGGGAGACUGGAAUUCCUGGUGUAGCGGUGAAAUGCGCAGAUAUCAGGAGGAACACCGGUGGCGAAGGCGGGUCUCUGGGCCGAUACUGACGCUGAGGAGCGAAAGCGUGGGGAGCGAACAGG
rnacentral:rRNA from 1 species